AACGAACGCUGGCGGCAGGCCUAACACAUGCAAGUCGAACGGGUGUAGCAAUACAUCAGUGGCGCACGGGUGAGUAACACGUGGGAACGUGCCCUUCACUACGGGACAACGUCGCGAAACUGACGCUAAUACCGUAUAAUGUCUCCGGACCACAGAUUUAUCGGUGAAGGAUCGGCCCGCGUCUGAUUAGCUAGUUGGUGAGGUAAUGGCUCACCAAGGCGACGAUCAGUAGCUGGUUUGAGAGAAUGACCAGCCACACUGGGACUGAGACACGGCCCAGACUCCUACGGGAGGCAGCAGUGAGGAAUCUUGGACAAUGGGCGCAAGCCUGAUCCAGCCAUGCCGCGUGAGUGAUGAAGGCCUUAGGGUUGUAAAGCUCUUUUGCCGGGGAUGAUAAUGACCGUACCCGGGGAAUAAGCCACGGCUAAAUUCGUGCCAGCCGCCGCCGUAA
rnacentral:rRNA from 1 species